rnacentral:lncRNA from 1 species
CUAGAGUAUAUAGGCUAUUAAAAACUAUAAUACCUAUGAUAAUGGUCCCUCUGCUAUGUCAUAUAAAUUACACUUUUGUUUACUUUAAUUUUGACAAAAAUUAACCAUAAUGUAUGUAAACAAUAAUUAAAUAGAAGCAAUAGUAGUCACUAAACAAUUAAGAGAUCUCAAAAUAAGUAUCUAUUACAAACUAAAUAUCUCAAUGACAAAUGUCCAUAACUUUUACAUGCUCUUUAAAAAGUUUGGACACUAAACUUCUAGUGAAA